GUCAGCCGCCGCGGGAACACCGGCGGCCCGAGUGGUGAUCGUGAUAUUGGGUCUAAAGGGUCCGUAGCCGGUUGGUCAGUCCUCCGGGAAAGUCUGAUAGCUCAACUAUUAGGCUUUCGGGGGAUACUGCCAGACUGGAACCGGGAGAGGUAAGAGGUACUACAGGGGUAGGAGUGAAAUCUUGUAAUCCCUGUGGGACCACCUGUGGCGAAGGCGUCUUACCAGAACGGGUUCGACGGUGAGGGACGAAAGCUGGGGGCACGAACCGGAUUAGAUACCCGGGUAGUCCCAGCCGUAAACGAUGCUCGCUAGGUGUCAGGCAUGGCGCGACCGUGUCUGGUGCCGCAGGGAAGCCGUGAAGCGAGCCACCUGGGAAGUACGGCCGCAAGGCUGAAACUUAAAGGAAUUGGCGGGGGAGCACAACAACGGGUGGAGCCCUGCGGUUUAAUUGGACUCAACGCCGGACAACUCACCGGGGGCGACAGCAAUAUGUAGGCCAAGCUGAAGACUUUGCCUGAAUCGCUGAGAGUGGUGGUGCAUGG
rnacentral:rRNA from 1 species